rnacentral:lncRNA from 1 species
AGAGGACAAAAAACAAUAGCAAACAACAAAGAGAAAAAAAAAACAAUGAAGAAACAGACAAAGAAUAGACAUAGAACGAGCAUGUAUUCGGCUAUAAAAGCCAUUUUCGAUACCUUUGUAUUUUUUACGAAUAUUAAGUAAUCGAAAAAGAAAGAAACAAGCAAAAGGUUGGUUUUAGUUUCCAUAUCUCGUUUUCCUUUUGUUCUCUUAUUUUCUUUUUUAUUUUCUAUCUUUUUGUCUUCAUUUGUAAAUCUGUUUUAAACAAAAAAAUGUAAAAAGAGGAGGAAACUUACCUGAACCCCACGGCUGUGGCAUCGGAGAGCUCUUCUUUGUCGCCAAAGUGGGGCCCAAAAGGGGCUGAGAGUCUCCUCCCUUCGGCGUUUUCGGGUUUUGGAGGUAGGGCCUUUAGAGGUGCUCCAAAAUGGGGCUAAACGAACCCAUCUUCUCGCAUCGUUGGUCACCGGGAAUGGUGGUGGUGCGGCAGUCAUGAUGGCGGCAAUGAUGAGUUUUCUAACCCUAGCAGAGAAGAAAUAAAGGAGGGGGUGUUUAAAAGUUUUUUUUAAAGAGCAGUAAAAAUGAAUUUAAAAAAAAAAUUGACUUAAGAAGCAAACGGCUCCGUUUUGGUGAUUGGGCUCAGAGGCCAAAACGACGUCUUUUUGGGCCUCUGACCCGCCCGACCCGAUCCUCCCUAGGGGGAUCCGCUCGUUUUCAGUAAAUGGGCUAUUUACGCCCGCAGUCCUUCGGCAUAUUUGAUUCUUUUAAUUUAAUCCUUUUUUAUUUUCCUUUUAUUUUUAAAUUUGACCGCGUAAUGUUUUCUUUGUUUCAAUUUGGUCCUCAGACCAUUUGAAGAGGCUGACGGGUGAAACGCAGCGUAUAAGGGCUGGGAAUAUUUUCCCAAUCGAUCCCUCAGUUUUCAAGCGCGUUUCAAAUCCAUCCUCUGCCCUUUUUUAUCCGAAUUUUCCCUUUUAAUUUUAUUUAAAUUUUGAUUUAGUCCUUUCUAUAUACUUGCAUUUAUUUUAUUCAAAUUUGGACCCUAAAGUUUCAUUUUAUUUACAAUCUAACCCUUUUUCAUGUAAAUUUGGACUCUUUGAUUCUUUUUUUUUCAUUUAUUUUAAACUAUUUUAUUUAUUUUAAAUUUUAUAUGAUAAACUGUUUUAAAUUGUUUUGGAUGUAUUAUUCUAAAUUAUUUCAAAUAUUAUAUACUUUGAAUCGCUUUAUAUAUAUUCCUAAACUUGUUUUUAUGUAUAACUGUUUUAUUACUUGUUUUAAAUUGUUAUCUUAUGUUAAACUCUUUUUAUUUAUUUAAAAUGGUUUUAUUAUUAUUUUUUAGGUUUUUAUAUAUAUUAUUUAUUUUACACUUUUGUGUAUGUAUAUAUAUAUAUUAUCUAUUUUAAAAUUAUUCAUAUGAAUUUUUUUUAAUUUGCUUUGUGUAAUAUAGAUUUUAAAAUUCUUUUACAUUAUUUAUUUUAAACUCGCUUUAUGCAUUAUUCAUUUUAAAUUAUUUUAUUAUUUAUUUUAAAAUUUUAUAUAUAUUAUCAAUUUCCAAUUGUUAUUUCUAUUUUUUAUAUAUAUAUACUAGUUAUUUCUUAGAUGUCUUGUAUAUUACUUAUUUCAAGUUUCUUUUUACAUAAUAUUUAUUUUAAACUCAUUUAUAUAUUAUUUAUCUUAAUUUUUUUUAUAUAUUGUUCAUUUUAAACUCUUUCCCGUAUAUUAUUUAUUUCAAACUUUCGCCUAUAUUACCUAUUUUAAAAUUUCUUAUACAUAUAUUCUAUUUUUAAAUUGUUUUGUACAUUAUUGAUAUUAAAUUUCUUUUUUUCACAUUAUUUAUUUUAAAUUCAUUUCUUAUCAUUUUAAAAUUUGUUUUACGUUUUAUUCAUUUUAACUUGCUUUGUAAUUUUUUUUAAAUUGUUAUAUAUUAUUUAAUUCGUUUGUCUUUGAUUAUUAAUGAUUAGUAUUUAAAUAAUGUAUGUUGUGUGAUUAUUGCCAUUGUGUGUAUUUUAAUUUGUUUAUUUCAUAUUUUUGCAUUAUUGUUAUUCAUUCGUAUAAUGUUGUGUUCAUGUAUCCUUGCUCUAGGCUCAUUACUAUAUUUCUAUUUCAUAUCAUCGCCUCAUGAUUCAAGUCUCGUUGCACUUAUAUGAUAAAUCGUUUUAUUUUAAUCGAAACAAACAAUACACGUCGUUUAAAUAUCGUACUCGCUAUGGUUCAAAAACAAAAUUUUCUAAAUAAGGCAAUGUUUUGCGUUUUGGAACAUCGAGGAAUUGUGCCCUAACUUACGGGGUUUUGAUUUUCUCGUUGAUUCUAAAUAGCCAAAUAUCCUUUCGAGUUUUAAAACACACGAAAUUCUAAUUAAAAUUAAAGACAAACUUGCGCUCGGGAGUUCAUGAGAUCGUGUCCUAACUUACGGGAUGUGAUACUCCGAUAUCUCGAGACGAGGAAAUCUUUAGCAAUCGUUUUGAUCUAAUUCAAGUGUUUUUUUUAAAUCGACAUUAAUAAAAAAAUGAUCAUAUUUUAAAUCCGUUCUCGAUUUUCAACUUUCGACAUUAAGACACUAACUAAUCAAUUCGGUACCAAUUUUGGGCGUGACGAGGGUGCUAAUCCUUCCUCGCACGUAACCGACUCCCGAACCUGUUCUCUCGAGUUUCGUAGACCAAAUACCGUUUUAGUAAGCUAAAAUGUUUUAUUAAAACAAAGGUGAUCCGAUCACACCUAAUAAAGAUCGGUGACGACUCUCGUUUUAAUCUUCGCUUUCAAACAAAGUCUAUUCCCGUUUUCAAAAAAUGGUUUCGACAGUUUAGCAACUCCACUGGGGACUUUGAGAGUAGAGCCAUAAAUUAAUUAAUUUUUGUUUUUUGUCAAAAAUUGAAAAUCUAUUUUAAAAUUACGAUUACUUCAUUGCAUGUUAUCUGUUACUUUCGUGGUUUCUUCAUAAUAUGCUUGCUUUAGUGGUUUAAUUCUUUUGAUGUAUCUUUGCAUAUCGCAUCGCAUAAAUUGAUCAAUUUUACCCUUUUAAGUGAGAGUAAGAAACUAUUCCUUCGUGAGGUCUUGACCUCUGUAAGAAGCUAUUCCUUCGUGAGGUCUUCACCUCUGUAUAGGAUAGUGGAUCGCUUUCGGGAUACAUUUGUACCUACGUCUUCGUAAGAUUUUCAUCUCUGUAUAGCCGUAGGGAAAUGUAUUCCCCUGAACUGAACCCGGUCCGUAUGAGCCUCUAAUGGGUGAAGAUCGAGGAAUCUGCUGGUUCAGGUACCUUUACUUUAGAACCGAACCGCAUAUAAUGAGCCCUAAGAGCCUACCCUAGGUAGAACCACACCAAACCCUAGUAGUUACCCGAAUAAGUGCUUGAUUAUUUCCUUUUUGCUUUGAGUUUUAUUCUUUGUUUUUAAUACUGACUUGUUGUGUAUUGCUGUUAUUGUAUGGCAUAUCAUCAUAAAAAGGUGUUGAUUCACGUUCGGUUACUAGAUAGAAAAGCUUAGCAUGGAAAAUGGGUUUCUUGAUAGAGUGGAGGAUAAUGCGGCUGUCCGAAUAUGGUCCGAGAGCACGCAACAAGAGAAAGGAGAUAGUUUGACUGAGGGAUAUAAAUCAGAGUUAUGGGAUUUCACUCGCAUCAGUGUGACUCAGAAUGACCUGCAAGAGCUAAAAGAGAUAUGGGAUAGUUGGAACGACGAGAUCAAGUAACUCUUUUACUGUAAUUACGAUGACCUACCCUAUCUGCUCGAUGUAAAGGUGGGCAAAUACUUGUUUUGAGCCCUCGCUCAGUUUUAGAAUCCCGCCUACAGUUGCUUCACCUUCGGAGCAGUCGAUUUGGUACCUACCAUAGAGGAAUACAUGGCUUUACUUAAUUGCCCGAAGAUUCAAGCCAACAGGGCCUAUUCAAGACCUGUUAACGUCCCACAUUUUUUGAAGAAAUUAAUGAAUAUCAUGGGGAUGAGUGAACAAUGGGUUGCAGCCUGUAUCAAACAUAAAGGGGAUAGUAAGUGUAUUCCUUGGAGGAAUUUGAGGGGCUUGAUCCUUGCACACCCGGAUAUGAAGAAGAGGGUUGGCGUUUUCGCCUUGAGCUUCUACGGUUUGAUCGUCUUUCUCAAGACAUUAGAACAUGUAGAGGAAGCCGUCUCAGAUUUAUUCGAUCGACUUGAUAAAAGGGACCACACCCGUCCCGGUAAUCAUUGCAAAAACUUUCAGAUCUUUGAACACAUGUCGGACGACGGGUGAAGAAAGAUUCGUAGGAUGUGCGUAGUUAUUGUUAGCUUGGUUCCACAGCCUCUUUUGAAAGGCAGAAAAUGUCUCCUAUCGAGUUUUCUCUAAGGACUAUUCCCCAUUAAGAGAAUUAGUGGCUACAUCGAGGCGAGAGGACAUCUCAGAAGAAAAAUAGAUAGCUAUUCUCCAGUGUUUGCAAGGCGAAGAUGUUGAAUGGAGGGUUCCAUGGUUGAUCCCCAAUGAGAUAUUAUAUCAGUGCGGUGAUUUUGACUGGGUCCCUCUAGCUGGAAUAUAGGGAGCUGUUAGAUACGCUCCACUACUUGUGUUAAGGUAGUAUCGAUCAAGGCAGUUUAUACCGGUGACACAAGGGUUGGCCCAAUGUGAGUUCUCUUAUAAAGACAACAAUUAUAAGAAGAAGGUUCGUGAGAUAUCAGAUGCUUGGAACCAAACCCGAAGAAUGAAAGGAUUCACCACAGGCCCAAUGACGACCCUCGAGUAUGAAUGGUGGUGGGGUAAGAGAGUUAAUGAUAACAUCUCUAGGCCGAAUCAAGGGAGCACUCGAUCGAUAGAAGAGCAUUUAUGAAUCAUCCCAUCUGAGUUAGAGAUCAUCAAGUAAGACUUUGAGAAAAAGAAACUCGGAAUUGGGAAAGAAGAUAAAGCAGCUAGAAGAUAAGAAGAUGAAAUUAGAAUUAGACGUCGAUAUCCACAAGCUAAAGGCCGAGAAAUUAAGGAAAGGAAAAAACAAAGUCGAGGAAGAUUUGAAUAGUCUAAAAACUGAUUACAAGAAGCUGCGUAUAUUGAUAAGAACUGCCGGUUUAGGUAAAACGUCGGAACAGUGACGUCAAGAAAUUAAAGAAGAAAAAAUUAGAGCCGAUUAUUGGGAGAGAAAGUUUCAAGAUGUCCGAGUACGGGAGGGCGCUCUGAAAAGGAGUCUGUUAGAAAGCCAAAACGGAAGAGAAAGGUUAUGAGCUCGGGUGGUCGAAUUAAAAAAAUCACUACAUCAACAUCAUGGCCGUAACUCCGUAAUUGAGUUGAAGGCCAGUUUAAGCAGGAUCGAGGAGUUAAAAGGAAAAGUAGAGGAAUUUGAGACUGCACUACGAGAUAGUAAGAUUCAAGUAGAACUUCUCGAGGCAAACAACGACCAUUGCAGGGAACAGCUUCACCGCUCUCAAGACCAGAUUAGAGAUAGAGACUAUGUCAUGGGUAAAGCUGUGGCUCAGGUUCGGGAGGUAGUCGAUCAUUUGCAAAUAUUGGCAGUUCAGGCUAAUGUAUUAAGCUUAAAGUACGAGUUGAAAUUAGAUCAAAGCCGAAGCUUAGCUUGGCUUCUUAGGAAGGUUAAGGCUUUGGGCAUUAGGGCAAAGUCGUAUAUGUAAUUAUCCGCUCUAUGUAAAGAAAAAUUUCUUCUAGUAAAGUUUUUGUAAUGAAAUUGAAUCGGAAUCAACGCCUCUUUUUGCAUUCAUUUCAUUUAUUUGCAUUACAUUUCAUCACAUGCAUUAAAUUUCGCGAAAAAACUCUAAUUAAAACAAAAUUAUUUCAGUUAAUUUGGAAACCAACAAGAAUCAACCAACCGAAUACCGCUACAAUACCCAUCGUAAAACCAAAGUAAUGGAUCAGAUAUUAGAAAGAUUAGAACAAAUGUAAAGGGAUAUGCAAGAGCAAUUACAAGCGCAAUUACAAACGCAGAUGCAGGAGCAGUUAGCUAGAAUCCAACGUGACAUGAGGGAACAAAUGCAAAAAUCCCAGAAUAAUAUGAUAAGUCAGUUGGCACAGUUACUGGCUAAGGAACGUGAAAAAGAGAAGAGCACUGCGAUCAAUUCAGGGAAUAAUAAUGAAGAACCUGUCUAUCCCCCGGGUUUUACUCCUGUCAAUGACCAGACACAUCCAGAGGUGUACCCACGAGUGGUACCCAUCACUAUUAGGCCCUAGCAAUACCUGGCUGGUGCCUUGGCACCGAUGAACUUUCCUACAGGCUCGGGCUCUAAUCCCGGGGAUAAUCCAACUAUCCAGUUGUCCCAGACCUUAAUGACGUGGCAGAAAUGGAGAAAGGAAAAGUAGACUUGACAAAACAACUCGAUGACCGGUGUAAAUGGCUUAAAGAGAAAUUGAAAGCAAUGGAGACUGCUGAUUACCGUUACGGGAUCAGCGCUAAGGACUUAAGCUUGGUCCCAAAUCUGGUGCUUCCAACAAAAUUUAAAACCCCGGAGUUUAAAAAGUACAACGGGACUAGCUGCCCUGAAGCUCACAUAACGAUAUUCUGUCGAAAGAUGACAGGAUAUGUUAACAAUGAUCAACUAUUAAUUCACUGUUUCCAAGACAGUCUAAUAGGGUCUGUGGCCAAGUGGUAUAACCAGCUAAGUCGUGCCCAAAUUAGUUCGUGGAAAGACUUGGCUCAAGCUUUCAUGAGACAAUACGGUCACGUGACGGACAUAGCACCCGACAGAAUUACAUUACAAAACAUGAAAAAGAAGCCAAGUGAGAGCUUCAGGCAGUAUGCCCAACGGUGGAGGGAGAUAGCGAUGCAAGUCCAACCACCUCUCCUGAAGAAGGAAACGACCAUGCUCUUUAUCAAUACCCUAAAAUCCCCAUUCAUUAACCACAUAUUGGGAAGCGCUACUAAGAGCUUCUCGGACAUAGUAAUUUCUGGAGAGAUGAUAGAAAACGUGAUAAGAUGCGGGAAGAUUGAAGAGGGGGAAAGUGCCAAAAGAUCAGCCCCGAAAAGGAAAGAAAAUGAGGUGAACAAUGCGAGCGUAUACAAUAAGGGUUAUUCGAAGCCAGUUACAGUGAGCCAGCUGAGGGCAGUGACUACUAGCCAUCAGGGCUCCGCAAGACAAUAUUCCAACCCAAGGCCUAACAUGGAAAAAGUCCAGUUCACGUCGAUCCCGAUGACGUAUAGGGAGCUUUACCAAAAUCUGUUUGAUGCGCAUGUGGUGUCCCCAUUUUGCCUAAAACCCAAGCAACCUCCAUUUACCAAAAUCUGUUUGAUGCGCAUGUGGUGUCCCAAUUUUACCUAAAACCCAAGCAACCUCCAUUCCCUAAGUGGUAUGAUGCAAACACUAAUUGAGAAUACCAUGCAAGAAUCCCGAGAUACACAAUUGAGAACUGCAUGGCCUUCAAAAAGAUAGUCGAAAGGUUCAUAAAGAUGGGCAUUAUAAAGUUCGAUGAUCCCACAGGACCUAAUGUGGCAGGCAAUCCAUUACCUAGUCAUUCAGACAAAGAGGUAAAUGCAAUAGUUGAAAAUGGAUAGAGGAGAACCAAGAUGGAUGUAUCAGAGGUAAAGACUUCGUUGAUAUGGGUUUGGAAGAAAAUGGUAGAAGAAGGUUUUGUUACACAAGAUUUAAGGGAGAAGCUCGAAUGAGCAAAGUACUACUAUGAAUUCCACGAAGAGAUCCAAAAGUGCAAUGAAUUCAGGGUUCUAGUACAGGGACUGAUGGAAAAUAAAGAGAUUGAAUUCUUUGAGUAUACUGAAGGCCUGAAAGGAAAAGAUGUGUGCGCUUCAAAAGGAGGGUCAACCAAUAAGGUCGAUGGGGUCAAUCACCCUGUGGUAAUCAUAUCACGACCAAGAAUUAGUGAAGUCAGAGCAUCUAUUGUACCAAAGGUCAUAAUCCAGAAGCUCGUUACUUUCCCUUAUAAAGAUAAAAAGAUGGUGCCUUGGAACUAUGACUGUAACAUGACGAUUCCGGAAGAGGAGAACCCGGCUAACACUUCAGAGAAAGGUCAAGAUGAAGGUUUCUAUACAUACAGUGGAAGACGUUAUACCCCGAACACAAAGGCAGAAUCAGUUAAAGGAAAAUUCAUGGUUGUUGAACAAAAAAUGGAGAAGACAACCAGACUAGAAUCACCUGUCAAUGAGCCUGUGACUGAAAAAGAGGCUAAAGAAUUCUUAAAAUUCCUGAAGCACAGCGAGUACAGCGUUAUGGAGUAAUUGCACAAACAACCAGCUCGCAUAUCGGUACUAGCCUUGCUUUUGAGCUUAGAGACUCAUCGCAGUGCAUUAAUGAAAGUGUUAAAUGAAACAUAUGUUGCGGAUGAUAUCUCUGUCAACAAGCUCGAUCGUCUAGUCAAUAACAUCAGUGCUGAUAAUUUUUUUUCUUUAACGAUGACGAAAUACCACUUGGAGGUAUGGGAUCCACAAAAGCCCUACACAUCACCACUCAUUGCAAGAGAUACACGUUACUAGGGGUACUGAUUAAUAAUGGAUCAGCGUUGAAUGUCCUGCCCUUGUCCACGCUAAAUAGGUUACCAAUAUAUAGCUCUCACAUGAAGACAUGUCAAAACAUAGUAAGAGCAUUUGACAGUACUGAAAGAAAAGUGAUGGGAAGAAUCGAGAUACCUCUUUUAAUUGGCCCAAAUACAUAUGAUGUGGACUUCUUAGUAAUAGACAUCAAGCCAUCGUACAACUUCCUGUUGGAAAGGCCGUGGAUCCACUCAGUGGGAGCAGUACCGUCGUCACUACACCAAAAAUUAAAGUUGGUGACUGAGGGUAGAUUGGUAACUAUAAACGCAGAGGAAGACAUCAUUGCAUCCGUUACCAAUGACGCACCGUACAUAGGUGCGGAUGAUGAGGCGAUAGAAUGUUCCUUUCGAUCGCUAGAAUUUGUCAAUGCCACAUUCAUUGUUGAAGGGAACAAGAUCCUAAUACCCAAAAUAUCCAAAACUACAAAGAUGGGCCUGCAAUUGAUAGUCAGAAAAGGAGCCUUGCCAGGAAGAGGACUUGGAAUGUGCCUCCAAUAUCAUUAUUUCAAUAAAAAAUGCAUUUUUGCGUAUCAUUUUGAGCAAAUAUUCUUUUAUUCUUUCUACUUCAUUCAUAAUCAUAUGUCCAAAUAUCGUUAUUUCAAUAAAAAAUGCAUUUUUGCGUAUCAUUUUGAGCAAAUAUUCUUUUAUUCUUUCUACUUCAUUCAUAAUCAUACCAUACAAAUAAAAUAUUCUUAGAUUCUUUUGUUCUUUGGAUCUCUUUCUUCAUCCCUAUAACAGGUCUCCAAAUAUCAAUGAUAUAAGCAAUGUUGCUACUGGCUCAGAGUCUCCUUUUGAGCAAGAUUUGUGUGUGGAGGACACUCAGGAUUUUAAAGAUGACUGAAAUUGUGACCUAUCUCCUGAUUUGUUAAGGAUGUUAGAACAAGAGGAGAAACAAAUCCUACAUUACAGAGAGUCAGUGGAAAUUGUGAACUUAGGAUAGGGAAAAGAGGUGAAGAUUGGAGCUUGUAUUACUGCAGAAACAAAGCGAGAUCUCAUUGAGCUACUACAAGAAUUCAAGGAUGUCUUCGCAUGGUCAUAUCAAGACAUGCCCGGGUUGAGUACUGAUAUCGUGGUACAGCUACUCCCUAUAAAGGAGGAGUGCAAGCCAGUUCAACAGAAACUCUGGAGGAUGAGACCUGAUGUUUUGUUGAAGAUAAAAGAUGAGAUGGAGAAGUAAUUCGACGCUAGUUUCUUACAAGUGGUUGAGUACUCAGAAUGGGUGGCCAAUAUAGUCCCUAUUCCCAAGAAAGAUGGGAAAGUACGAAUGUGUGUGGACUAUCGAGAUUUGAACAAAGCCAGCCCAAAAGACAAUUUUCCGCUGCCUCACAUUGUACAUUAGUGGAUAACACGGUAGGUUAUUCACUUUUGUCCUUCAUGGAUGGCUUCUCGGGAUACAAUUAGAUAAAGAUGCAUCCCGAAAACAUGGAAAUGACCACAUUCGUGACUAUGCAGGGAAUGUUUUGUUAUAAAGUGAUGCCAUUUGGACUAAAAACAUAGGAGCGACAUGUUAGAGAGCCAUGGUAACUUUGUUCCAUGAAAUGAUGCACAUGGAGAUCGAAGUUUACGUCGACGAUAUGAUUGCAAAAUCCAAAACAGAGAAGGAGCAUGUGCAAGUCCUGAGAAAACUUGUAAUAACCCGAAAUUCACAGGUACCGGAAAAGUGAGUUAUAGGGCCUCCGUCUUUGUGAAAUAAGUUCGAAAAUAAUUAUUAAAAAUAUUUAUGAGCCUAGUGGUGUGUCUAAUUAGGAUCUAAUUAGGUGAAUUUAGCUUAAUUUAGAGUAAGUAAUAAAAAGGAUUAAAUUGAAUAAAGGGUAAAAGUUUAAUUAUAAAGCAAUAGAAAAUAAAAAUGAUUAAAAUGACAAUUAAGCCAUUUACUACAAAUGAGGCGGCAUAUUGGUGAAAUAAAAUCAAAGAUUUUUUUAGGUUUUAUAUAUUAUAAUGAUUAUUAUUAUGGUUUUAUAUUAAAUUAUUAUAAUUAUUAAUUAACAUUAUGGUUUUAUAUUAGAUUAUUAUUAUUAGCAUUAUUAUUAAAUAAAUUAAAUAGAAGACAAUUGUAUGGUAAUAAAAUAUACAUGUGUAAGAAUUGUAUUGGUACAAUUGUAAUUUAAAUAUUUAAUUAAUUAUAAUUUAAGUAUAAAUAUAUUUUAUAAUUAUUAAUUGUAUUAAUUAAAUCUUGAGAUUUUUAUUUGAUAAGCAAAUUAGAUAAUGAUAUUUGUAAUAAUAUAAAUAUAUACACUUGUUAUAUAAUUAUUAAUUUACUUAAUAUUAAAGUAAAAGAUAUUUUAAUAUAUGAUAUUAAUAUUAUAUUAUGUUAAUAAAAUAAUAAAGCAUAAAAAGAAUUAAGGAAACAAAGAAACAAAACAAAAGAAACAGAAACGAAGCAGGGAACAAAACGAAAACAGGGAAAGAAAAUAAAAAGGGAAAUUGGGAUUUUAAAGCUUCAAGUUUAAUUGGUAAGCUUAAUUAAGUCCUUUUCUCUUAAUUUUGAUAUUUUAGAAGCUUUAAAACAAGUUUUGAUGAAAUUAAGUUGAUAAUUCAAGAAUUUAUAUGUUUCCAAAUAUGGUUCAUGUUGGAUAAAUUAUGGAAUUAGGGAUUUAAUUGAAUGAAUUCUAAGUUAGAAUUGAUUAAGGGAUUAAAUUGUAAACUAGGUGUAACGCCCCCACGCCCGAGACCGUCGCCGGAGUCGAGCUUGAGGUGUUACCGAACAUAAUUUAUCGAAUUAAGAACUUCGAAUCAUUUAUUUCUACAUUCAUAGCUUUCUAGCUACCUGUAUCACAGUUACAUGAAAAAUCAUAUCUCGAGUUACAAAACUCGAAAUCAAGAUCUGUAAAUUUUCAUUAAAUCUAGACUCAUAUAUCUAUUUACUAAAUUUUUUCUAGAAUUUUUGAUUGGUCCAAUUAAUACAGUUUAUUAUUAAAGUUACCCCUGUUUCAGGACUUGACUGGACUGACCUCUGUUUACUACGAACCAUAUUUCUCUUUGUGAAAAGUUUAUAUGACUAUGCUGUUUAUUUAUUCCGAAACUAGACUCAAUAAGGAUUCCAAGAAUAUAAAAUAAACCACCUAAUUAUUUUUGUACAAUUUAUGGUAAAUUUCAAAAUUUGGAAUAGGGGAUCCAGAAAUCGCUCUGGCCCUGUUUCACUAAAAUUCAAAUAUCUUAUAACAUAUAAUUCCUUUACUUGUUUCAUUUGUUUUAUAUGAAACUAGACAUACUAGGCUUCAAUGUCAUAUUUAAUCCAUCACCAAAUUCAAUUUCUAUGUUUUUUUAGUAAAUUUUCAAACUCAUGUCAGUGUUGCUGCAAUAUUCUGUUUAUGGCAAAUUUCAUCUUUUCAUGAGUUUUUAUGAUCUAGAUAACAUAUUAAACUUCCAUGACAUCAAACAUGAUCUAACUUAGCGUUUUCCAUUACUUAUCAUUAUUAAGCAUUUUCUCAACCAAAUCAUGGCCAUAUCACAAAAUUAUUUACACAAAAUAGGUGUAUUGCUAUACAUGCCAUACUUAAGUUUUACAAGCCAUUUACCAAAAAGAGUCUUUCGGAUAGUGUGAUCGAACCGUCGACCUGUCCCGAUUCCUAAGCCGGCUUGUUCAAAACUACAGUGAAUGAAAAGGAGGGAGUAAGCAUAAAUGCUUAGUAAGUCAUAUACAAAUAACAAGUAACAUAACAAUACAAUUAUACCAAACAACCUUAGCAUGGUAUCACCAAAACAUAUAUCACAUUUCUAAACAUCAUUAAUCAUCUUACCACCUUAUCGUUGUUGUAUCUAUUUUCAACCCAAAGGUUAAGUACAUACCUGUCCAAAGUGUCCAUUUCACAGUACUUACCAAUACGUCACCUGCAUCUUAAGUGUUCUUCCAUUUCACUAGAAAUUUUACCCGUUGGACACAUCGAAAUAUAACUAGGAUACAUGAGUAAUUUGCACAUAAGUGCCACAUUUGUAGCCAAGCUACCAUGUAACCAGCCCAUAAGUGAACUCGGACUCAACUCAACGAGCUCGGGCGUUCGCAUCCAUAAGUGAACUCAGACUCAACUCAACGAGUUCGGAUGCCUAGUUACAUCUCACGAACUGGGACUCAACUUAACGAGUUCGGACAUUUCACAUCCAUAAGGGAACUCGGACUCAACUCAAUGAGUUCGGAUGUUCAACCAUCCUAGUGACAUGUCACUUGUAUCCUAAUCUAUUCCUAAGGUUCAAAUGGGAUUUUCCUCAAACACAUCUCCUUGCCAUCUUCCGUAAAAUACCGAAACCAAUACUCGGUAGCACUUUAUAUUUAACAAAUAAUACACUUAAUUUGCAUUUUAUUCGAAAAUAACCACAAAUCAUAUAUUUCAUGAUAAAAAUCAGCAUAUCAUAUAUUUAACAUCAAUAACUUAAAAAUAACAAUUAUGCUACCUUAUUUACACAUGAACUUACCUCGGUACAAAAAUUUUAACAAUCGAGCCUAUUCCUCGUAAACUUUGUUUUUCCCUCGAUCACGACUUGAAUCUCGUUUCUCUUGAUCUAUAAUACCAAAUUAAUCUUAUUUAAUACAUACAUUCAUUAAAACAGUACUUAAUACGAACUUUGGAAAAAUUACCAUUUUACCCCUAAACUUUUGCAUAAUUACACUUUUGCCCCUAGGCUCGAGAAUUAAACUUCAUCCCUUAUUAUUUUGUUUUAUGACAUUCUGAUCAUUUUCCCUUCUAUGACAACAUCAAAUUUUCACUCUAACAUGUAUUUAUGACUACUAAAUAUUUUUACCGAUUAAGCCUUUUUACUCGUUUUUACUCAAAACCGAGUAGCACAAGUUGUCUAACAAAAUUUAAAACCUCAUAUUCUGUCAUAAAACACCAAAAUGCACAAAUUUCACCUAUGGGUAUUUUUCCAAAUAUGAACCAUAGGUUGAAUUAUUGUUAACAUAAGCUAAAUCGAGCUACCGGGAUUUCAAAAACAUAAAAAUCAUUAAAAACGAGGCUUGAAAUCACUUACUAUGAAGUUUGAAAGUUGAAGAAACCCCAGCUAUGGAGGAGAGCAAAAAUCGGCAGAACAAUAUGGAGAAGAUGAUCAUUUUGGGUUAUUUUUCCUAUUUUUAUUUCAUUUAAUAUCCAAAUGACCAAAAUGCCCUUACUAUUAAACUUUCCAAAAAUUCCUUCCAUGUCCUAAUUUUGUCCAUGAACUUAAAAUUGGUCAAAUUACCAUUUAAGACCUCUUAAUUAAUAUUUCAAAGCAAUUUCAUACUAAAAACUUCUAGAAUGCAAGUUUUGCAACUUAUUCGAUUUAGUCCCUAACUUUAAAUUAAACUCGUUAAGCCAAAAAUUUCUUCACAAAAUUUUCACACAAGUAUGCAAUCAUAUUAUAAACCUCAAAAUAAUUAUAAAAUAAUUAUUUCUAUCUCGGAUUUGUGGUCACGAAACCACUAUUCCGAUUAGGCCUUAAUUCGGGAUAUUACACUAGGCUAUAAGUUUUAUGUUGAAGGGACUAAAUUGAAGAAAUUUCAAAAUUAGGGAAAUAUUCUGGAAAUUUUAUAGUUAAAUAUAAGUUUAGACAAAAUUUGAAUAGAAAAAGAGAGUGAAUUGGAUUAAGAAAAUAAUUAAGUUUAGUUAGGAUUAAAUUGGGAAUAAGGUAGGAAUUGUUUAGAAAUUUAAUUAUUUAUUAUAAUUAAUGCAGUAAAUAAUAAUAUAAAUUACUAUUAUUUUCGUAACCAACAAAGAACCUGAAACGUCAGCAUCGAAAGGAAAUGAGAAAGUCAUCGAGGACUAAAACGGGAGAAUUACGGUGUGUAUUAAUAUAACUCAAAUUUUAAUUAUUAUUGAUUGCUGAAAUUUUAAUUGUUAUGCUUGGUAAGUAAGACUUGAGGUAAGUAUGUGAUUAUUUGAAAAAUGUAUUGAUUGAAAAAUAAAUAAAUGGUGACAAUUGUAUGGUGUUGAUGGUAUACACUUGUGUGAAAAUUAAUUUGUAUAUGAAUUAAGAUAAUAGAUAUUUGAAUUGAAUGAGUAUUGAAAAUUUUUGUGUAAAUUAAAUUGAAAUUAGAAAAAGUAAAAUAAUACCCUAUUAACUUGUCGGACUAGAUUUGAUACAAAUGGCAUGCCAUUAGAUUUGUGAUAUGAUGAGGAGAUUGUAGUUCGGCCAAGAAGAUGUUUCUGUUAUUAUAUACUUCGAUUUAUCCGAAGAGGCACUUAAUGCCUUAUUGGUGUGUUAUGGAGGAUUUAAAAUAUUCUGGGUGUGUUUGGGUUGGACAUUCUGGUGUGUUUGGGUGGAAAUCCCCGUAUCUGUCAUAGUCCGAGCUUUGUUAAUAGGGUAAAUAAUUGAAAUGAAAUUUUGAAAAUGAGAUUAUUUGUUUUAGCACUAUUGAAAAGUACGAGAAAGAAUGUAUGAGUUAAAUUAUGAAUUGAGUUAGUGUGAGAAAAAUGAAUUAUGAAUUUAAGAUUUAUGAAGUAAAAUAAUUAUAUAUAAAAGUAGUUUAAAUAAUUAUAAAAUUUAUGGAUGGUGUUUGUAAUUUAUUAAUGUUAAAUAGUCUUGUUUUAUAGUAAUACCACUGAGUAUAUCCAUACUCAGCGUACGGUUGUUUCCGUGCGCAGGUUAGUAGAAGUCAAGUGUCCCGGCUCAGCAUCCAGAACAAUCCCGAUUCCAACACAAACUUGGUGAUGGAUAUUUUUCUUUUGGGGAAAGGUGGCAUGUACAUAGGUGUUGUUUAGUCACUUGAAUAUGUAUAUUACUUUGAGUAGUGAAGGAUGAAUUAUAAGAGUUAGAUGGUUAAAUGAAAUGGUAAGGAAAGUACAUGAUAUUUUGAUACAUGAACAUUAAGUUGUUAAAUGAAUGAAGUUUAUAAUCAAUUUUGAAUGAUGCUAUGAUAGUUAUUAAGUUAAAAUUAUGUUAAUGAUAUAAAUAUUAGUUAUAUGAAUGUGAAACAUUGGUGUUGGUGAUUUUGGUUUGAAUUUGCAGGAGGUUUCGGUAAAAAUAAGCAGAAAUGCUGUCGAAAUUUUUUUACAAAAAAAAAUUUGGAAUACUCGAACAAGUCCCGUUCUACUUUUAAUACGUGUUUGAACUUUGAGAGUCCAAGAUAGGGACUUAAUUAUUAUAUUAUACUAUGAAAGUUAUAUUAAUUGUAAAUUAUUCGUAAGUUGUCUGAUAUGUCCGGUAAUGCCUCAUAACCUCAUUUCAGCGACGGUUUGGGGUUAGGGGGUGUUACAGUUGUUGGUAUUAGAGCUAUCAAGUUUAGCCGAUUCUCGAGCUAAAUUGGGCUCGAAAGUGAGUUUAGAUGUACAUGCCACUGUCGAGUCGAAAUUGAGUCGGGAUUUUUGGAUGCUAAUGUAUUUAUUUGAUUUUGUUUUAUAGAUAAAAUGUCAGAUGAAAGAAUGGAUAAUGUUGAACAGGAAAUGUAUACUGGAAGUCGAGAAUUAGAAGAAACUGAAUCUGUUACACCUGGUGUGAAUCUGUUAAAUAAUCAAUCUUCUAACAUAGGGAGAGAAAGAAAUACCUCACAAGUGUUAAGAGAUAUAGCUGAUGCGUUACAGCAUAUAGUGAGAGCUAUACCUGCUACUACAUCUGUACCUACUGUCAGACAGGCCUCGAUUAAAGAGCUACGAAAAUAUGGUGCCACGGAAUUUCAGGGAUUAAAAGGAGCUGAUCCAUCCAUUGCUGAAAAUUGGAUAGAAACAACAAAAAGAUUUUUGCAACAAUUAGACUGCACUCCCCGAGAGAGUCUGAUAGGUGCUGUAUCACUGUUACAAGGAGAAGCGUAUCUCUGGUGGGAAUCUGUGGUUAGACAUUUGCCGGAUGAUCAGGUAACUUGGGACUUGUUUCAAAAAGAAUUUCAGAAGAAGUAUAUUGGGGAAUUGUACAUCGAAGAGAAAAAGCAAGAGUUUUUAGUGUUGAAACAAGGGAAUAUGUCAGUACUGGAUAAUGAGCGAGAGUUUUCUAGAUUGAGCAGGUAUGCUUUAGAAUAUGUUUUAACCGAGGCUGAUAGUUGUAAACGAUUUCUACGGGGACUGCGAGACGAAAUCAAGAUUCAAUUGGUAAGUCUCAGAAUUACUGAACUUGUUGAUCUGGUUGAGCGAGCAAAAAUGAUAGAACAAGUACUGGGUCUGGAUAAAAAAUCAGAAAUUGGUAAAUCAGCUGGGAAACGUAUAGGAACUACUAGUUCUAAUCCAUUACCGAAGAGAUUCAGAGAAUCAAAAAGUGACCGGAGAUCCAAUUUUAGUUCAGAUAGAGGUGGUAGAAGCAGAGGUAAACAGAUGACAGUAUCUACUAGUAGUGUAAGAGGUCCAUCCCGAAGUAUAGAAAUUCCAGACUGUGAGCAUUGCGAAAAGAAACAUUUAGGUGAAUGUUGGAGGAUAACUCGACGAUGUUUUCGAUGUGGGGCCAUAGAUCAUUUCAUUCGAGAUUGUCUGAAAGGUGAAAGUGCCACACCUGCAACAUCUCAAAGAUCAGUACCUACUGUUCGUGGCAGAGGAUCUAGUAGGGGUGGUUCGAGUUCUGUGUCUAGAGGUGGAGGUGUCAGAAGAAACAGCGAUAUAGUUACACAACAGUCAGAGGCCAGAGCGCCGGCUAGAGCGUACGUAGUCCGGACCUGUGAAGAAGGCGAUGCACAUGAUGUUGUUACAGGUAUAUUUCUAUUGUAUUCUGAGCCUAUUUAUGCUUUAAUUGAUCCGGGUUCGUCACACUCAUAUAUAAAUUCAAAACUAGUCGAAUCGGGGAAAUUAGAAUCUGAAAUGUCUAAAGUUUCUAUAGAAGUGUCUAGCCCUUUGGGACAAACGGUGUUAGUAGAUAGAGUAUGUCGGAGGUGCCCGUUAAUAAUACAUGAUAAAAUGUUUCUUAUGGACUUGUUGAUCAUGCCUUUUGGUGAUUUUGAUAUCAUUUUGGGUAUGGACUGGCUAUAUGAACAUGGGGUCGUUUUGGAUUGCUAUAAAAGGAGGUUUAGUAUUCAGACAGAAAAUGGGAAUAGAAUUGAAGUGAUGAAGGCUAAUAAAUUACUGUAGCAGGAUUGUCCAGCAUACUUGGCAUAUGUUAUUAAUUCUGAUUUAGUUGGGAGUCAAUGCAGUCAGAUUAGGACUGUAUGUGAGUUUCGAGAUGUAUUCCCAGAAGAAUUACCGGGCUUACCACCUGACAGAGAGGUUGAAUUUGCUAUUGAGGUGUAUCCAGGUACAACACCAAUUUCUAUACCUCCGUAUCGAAUGUCGCCCACUGAAUUGAAAGAGUUGAAGGUGCAGUUACAAGAUUUACUAGAUUGUGGAUUUAUUAGACCAAGCAUUUCACCCUGGGGAGCUCCAGUGUUGUUUGUUAAAAAGAAAGAUGGUUCUAUGCGGUUAUGCAUUGAUUAUCGACAGUUGAAUAAAGUGACGAUCAAGAACCGGUAUCCGUUGUCUCGUAUAGAUGAUUUGUUUGAUCAGCUUAAGGGUGCUUCAGUAUUUUCAAAAAUUGAUUUGAGAUCCAGGUAUUAUCAGCUGAAGGUGAAGGAAAGUGAUGUGUCUAAAACUGCCUUCCGUACUCGUUAUGGCCAUUAUGAAUUUUUGGUAAUGCCAUUUGGAUUGACCAAUGCCCCAACUGCUUUCAUGGAUCUAAUGAACCGCAUUUUUCAGUCGUACUUAGAUCAAUUUGUGGUGGUUUUCAUUGAUGAUAUAUUGGUAUAUUCGAAGACAGAGGCAGAACGUGAUCAGCAUCUUCGAAUAGUUCUACAAAUUUUACGAGAGAAACAGCUAUAUGGAAAGCUCAGUAAAUGCGAGUUCUGGUUAUCAGAAGUGGUAUUUCUGGGACAUGUAGUAUCUGCAGAUGGAAUUCGAGUUGAUCCGAAAAAGAUCGAAGAAAUUGUUCAGUGGAAGGCGCCAAAGAAUGUAUCGGAGGUACGCAGUUUUCUCGGUUUAGCUGGGUAUUACAGGAGGUUUGUAAAUGGAUUCUCGAAGAUAACACUACCAAUGACUAAACUACUGCAGAAGAAUGUUCCUUUUAUUUGGGAUGAUCAGUGUCAGAAAAGUUUUGAAACAUUGAAGUGAAUGAUAACCGAGGCACCAGUUUUGACAUUGCCAGAAUCGAGUAAAGAUUUUGUAGUGUAUAGUGAUGCUUCUUUGAGUGGUUUGAGUUGUGUAUUGAUGCAGGAUGGGAAGGUAAUAGCCUAUGCAUCUCGUCAAUUGAAACCACGUGAAAGGAAUCAUCCUACUCAUGAUCUUGAGUUAGCAGCCGUGAUUUUUGCAUUGAAGAUUUGGAGACAUUAUCUUUAUGGUGAAAGAUGCUACAUCUAUACUGAUCAUAAGAGUUUGAAGUAUCUUGUUUCUCAGAAGGAAUUGAAUUUGAGACGUUGGAUCGAGCUUCUGAAAGACUAUGAUUGUGUUAUAGACUAUCAUCCGGGAAAAGCUAAUGUUGUAGCUGAUGCAUUAAGCAGAAAAGCUGUAAUUGAAUUAAGAGCAAUGUUUGCACGGCUUAGUAUCACUGAUGAUGGGAGUCUUUUGGCCGAAUUGAGAGUAAAAUCGGUAAUGUUUGAUCAGAUUAGAUUAGCUCAGUUGGAAGAUCAUAAAUUAUUGAAGAAAAGAGAGAUGGUACAGCAGAAAAUUUUAGUAUUGAUGAUUGUGGAUGCUUGAGGUUUUGAAAUCGGAUUUGUAUUCCAAAUGCUUCUGAGCUUAAAGAGUUGAUUCUACGGGAAGCUCAUGAUAGUUCAUUUGCUAUGCACCCCGGAGGCAUGAAAAUGUAUCGAGAUUUAAGAGAAUUAUACUGGUGGCCAGGGAUGAAAAGAGACAUAGUAGAAUUUGUAAGUAAAUGUUUGACUCGCCAACGAGUAAAGGCAGAACAUCAGCUUCCUACUGGAUUGCUUCAGCCUAUUAAUAUUCCUGAAUGGAAAUGGGAUCGCAUCACGAUGGAUUUUAUUACGGGAUUACCGUUGUCAGCAAGCAAAAAGAAUGCUAUUUGGGUGAUAGUUGAUAGACUUACCAAGUCAGCACUUUUGAUAGCAGUCGGGACUGAUUGGUCAUUGCAGAAGCUUGCAGACGUGUAUAUUCGAGAAAUUGUUAGAUUACAUGGCAUUUCGAUAUCAAUAAUUUCAGAUCGAGAUCCUCAGUUCACAUCGAGAUUUUGGAGACAGUUACAUGAAUUGUUGGGUACUAGACUUAGUUUCAGUACAGCCUUUCAUCCGUAAACCGACGGACAGUCCGAACAAGUAAUUCAGAUAUUAGAAGAUAUGCUUCGGGCUUGUAUUAUUGAUUUUGAAUCAGGUUGGGAACGUUAUUUACCAUUAGCUGAAUUUGUCUACAAUAAUAGUUUUCAAUCUAGUAUACAAAUGGCCCCGUAUGAAGCACUGUAUGGUCGAAGGUGUAGAUCACCGGUAUGUUGGACAGAAUUGAAUGAAAGAAAAGUAAUUGGGCUGGAAUUAAUUCAAGAAACAGAAGAAACAGUUAAAAAGAUCAAAGAUAGAUUAAAGGUAGCUUUUGACAGACAAAAGUCUUAUGCCGACUUGAAACGUCGAGACAUUGAGUAUUCAGUUGGAGACAAAGUAUUUCUGAAGGUUUCUCCUUGGAAAAAAGUUUUGAGAUUUGGUCGGAAAGGUAAAUUGACCCCACGUUUUAUUGGGCCGUAUGAAAUAGUGGAAAGAAUUGGACCAGUUGCAUAUAGAUUGGCUUUACCUUCUGAAUUACAAAGGAUUCAUGAUGUUUUUCAUAUUUCGAUGCUACGGAAAUAUAGAUCAGAUCCUUCUCAUAUAAUUUCUACAGAAUAUAUUGAAGUUCGACCUGAUUUAUCAAAUGAAGAAGAGCCGGUUCAAAUUUUAGCACGGGAAGUGAAAGAAUUAAGAAAUAAAAAGGUUCCUUUAGUGAAAGUCCUAUGGAGAAAUCAUAAUGUUGAAGAAGCGACUUGGGAACCAGAGGAAACUAUGAGAGUACAAUAUCCUCAUCUCUUCUCAGGUAAAUUUCGAGGACGAAAUUUAUUAAGGGGGGGAGAAAUGUAAUAACUCGAAAUUCACGGGCACCGGAAAAGUGAGUUAUAAGGCCUCCGUCUUAGUGAAAUAAGUUCGAAAAUAAUUAUUAAAAAUAUUUAUGAGCCUAGUGGUGUGUCUAAUUAGGAUCUAAUUAGGUGAAUUUAGCUUAAUUUAGAGUAAGUAAUAAAAAGGAUUAAAUUGAAUAAAGGGUAAAAGUUUAAUUAUAAAGCAAUAGAAAAUAAAAAGGAUUAAAAUGGAAAUUAAGCCAUUGACUACAAAUGAGGCGGCAUAUUGGUGAAAUAAAAUCAAAGAUUUUUUUUAGGUUUUAUAUAUUAUAAUGAUUAUUAUUAUGGUUUUAUAUUAAAUUAUUAUAAUUAUUAAUUAACGUUAUGGUUUUAUAUUAGAUUAUUAUUAUUAGCAUUAUUAUUAAAUAAAUUAAAUAGAAGACAAUUGUAUGGUAAUAAAAUAUACAUGUGUAAGGAUUGUAUUGGUACAAUUGUAAUUUAAAUAUUUAAUUACUUAUAAUUUAAGUAUAAAGAUAUUUUAUAAUUAUUAAUUGUAUUAAUUAAAUCUUGAGAUUUUUAUUUGAUAAGCAAAUUAGAUAAUGACAUUUGUAAUAAUAUAAAUAUGUACACUUAUUAUAUAAUUAUUAAUUUACUUAAUAUUAAAGUAAAAGAUAUUUUAAUAUAUGAUAUUAAUAUUAUAUUAUGUUAAUAAAAUAAUAAAGCAUAAAAAGAAUUAAGAAAACAAAGAAACAAAACAAAAGAAACAGAAACGAAGCAGGGAACAAAAUGAAAACAGGGAAAGAAAAAGGGAAAGAAAAUAAAAAGGGAAAUUGGGAUUUUAAAGCUUCAAUUUAAUUGGUAAGCUUAAUUAAGUCCUUUUCUCUUAAUUUUGAUAUUUUAGAAGCUUUAAAACAAGUUUUGAUGAAAUUAAGUUGAUAAUCCAAGAGUUUAUAUGUUUCCAAAUAUGGUUCAUGUUGGAUAAAUUAUGGGAUUUAAUUGAAUGAAUUCUAAGUUAGAAUUGAUUAAGGGAUUAAAUUGUAAACUAGGCUAUAAGUUUUAUGUUGAAGGGACUAAAUUGAAGAAAUUUCGAAAUUAGGGAAAUAUGCUGGAAAUUUUAUAGUUAAAUAUAAGUUUAGACAAAAUUUGAAUAGAAAAAGAGAGUGAAUUGGAUUAAGAAAAUAAUUAAGUUUAGUUAGGAUUAAAUUGGGAAUAAGGUAGGAAUUGUUUAGAAAUUUAAUUAUUUAUUAUAAUUAAUGCUGUAAAUAAUAAUAUAAAUUACUAUUAUUUUCGUAGCCAACAAAGAACCUGAAACGUCAGCAUCGAAAGGAAAUGAGAAAGUCAUCGAGGACUAAAACGGGAGAAUUACGGUGUAUAUUACUAUAACUCAAAUUUUAAUUAUUAUUGAUUGCUGAAAUUUUAAUUGUUAUGUAUGGUAAGUAAGACUUGAGGUAAGUAUGUGAUUAUUUGAAAAGUGUAUUGAUUGAAAAAUAAAUAAAUGGUGACAAUUGUAUGGUGUUGAUGGUAUACACUUGUGUGAAAAUUAAUUUGUAUAUGAAUUAAGAUAAUAGAUAUUUGAAUUGAAUGAGUAUUGAAAAUUUGUGUAAAUUAAAUUGAAAUGAGAAAAAGUAAAAUAAUACCCUAUUAACUUGUCGGACUAGAUUUGAUACAAAUGGCAUGCCAUUGGAUUUGUGAUGUGAUGAGGAGAUUGUAGUUCGGCCGAGAAGAUGUUUCUGUUCUUAUAUACUUCGAUUUAUUCGAAGAGGCACUUAAUGCCUUACUGGUGUGUUAUGGAGGAUUUAAAAUAUUCUAGGUGUGUUUGGGUUGGACAUUCUGGUGUGUUUGGGUGGAAAUCCGCGUAUCUGUCAUAGUUCGAGCUUUGUUAAUAGGGUAAAUAAUUGAAAUGAAAUUUUGAAAAUGAGAUUAUUUGUUUUAGCACUAUUGAAAAGUACGGGAAAGAAUGUAUGAAUUAAAUUAUGAAUUGAGUUAGUACGAGAAAAAUGAAUUAUGAAUUUAAGAUUUAUGAAGUAAAAUAAUUAUAUAUAAAAGUAGUUUAAAUAAUUAUAAAAUUUAUGGUUGAUGUUUGUAAUUUAUUAAUGUUAAAUAGUCUUGAUUUAUAGUAAUACCACUGAGUAUAUCCAUACUCAGUGUACGGUUGUUUCCGUGCGCAGGUUAGUAGAAGUCAAGUGUCCCGGCUCAGCAUCCAGAACAAUCCCGACUCCAACACAAACUUGGUGAUGUAUAUUUUUAUUUUGGGUAAAGGUGGCAUGUACAUAGGUGUUGUUUAGUCACCUGAAUAUGUAUAUUAUUUUGAGUAGUGAAGGAUGAAUUAUAAGAUUUAGAUGGUUGAAUGAAAUGGUAAGGAAAGUACAUGAUAUUUUGAUACAUGAACAUUAAGUUGUUAAAUGAAUGAAGUUUAUAAUAAAUUUUGAAUGAUGCUAUGAUAGUUAUUAAGUUAAAAUUAUGUUAAUGAUAUAAAUAUUAGUUAUAUGAAUGUGAAACAUUGGUGUUGGUGAUUUUGGUUUGAAUUUGCAGGAGGUUUAGGUAAAAAUAAGCAGAAAUACUGCCGAAAUUUUUUUAUAAAAAAAAAUUUGGAAUACUCGAACAAGUCCCAUUCUACUUUUAAUACGUGUUUGAACUUCAAGAGUCCAAGAUAGGGACUUAAUUAUUAUAUUAUACUAUGAAAGUUAUAUUAAUUGUAAAUUACUCGUAAGUUGUCUGAUAUGUCUGGUAAUGCCUCAUAACCUCAUUCCGGCGACGGUUUGGGGUUAGGGGGUGUUACAAAACUAUUCUUAAGGUUAAUGAAGUUCCAACUAAAGCUCAAUCACACAAAGUGUACCUUCGGGGCCAGGUCAAGAAAGUUGUUGGGAUUCGUAGCUAGUGAAAAGGGGAUUGAGAUUGACCCAGAUAAAGUCAAGGCCAUACAAGAAUUAACCCCACUGCGCACUCAAAAAGAAGUUCAAGGUUUCUUAGGAGGAUUAAAUUAAAUUGCCCGGUUCAUUUCACAACUGACGGAGAAAUGCGACCCCGUAUUCCGUCUCCUUAAGAAACACAAUUCAGGUGUAUGGAAAGAGGAGUGCCAGAAAACUUUUGACAAUGUCAAGCAUUACUUGUCCAACGCCCCAGUACUAAUGCCACCUUGCCCAGAUAGGCCACUGAUACUAUACUUGGUGGUGUUCGAAAACUAUAUGGGAUGCGUACUAGGCCAACAUGACGAGUCAGGAAGGAAAGAAAAAGCGAUAUACUAUCUCAGUAAGAAAUUCACCGAAUGUGAGACAAGAUAUUCGUCGAUCGAGAAGUUGUGUUGUGCUUUGAUUUGGACAACCCGAAGACUAAGACAAUACAUGUUGUACCACACAACUUAGCUCAUAUCAAAACUAGACCCUUUGAAGUACAUGAUGGAGUCAAAUGUUUUGAACGGAAGAAUGGCUCGUUGGCAAAUUUUAUUUUCUGAGUUUGACAUAGUCUACGUGAACCAAAAGGUUGUAAAAGGGAUUGCAAUAGCAGAUUUUCUAGCCAGUAGAGCUCUAGAAGAUUAUGAGCCGUUGAGCUUUGAUUUCCUGAAUGAGGAUUUAAUGUAUGUUGCAACCAUGGAAGAAAUCUCUCAAAAAGGUCAUCCUUGGAAACUGAGUUUUAAUGGAGCUUCAAAUGCUGUGGGUAACAGAAUCGGGGCAAUUUUUGUAUCCUCAAACGGGGAUCAUUAUCCUUUCACCAGUAAAUUAGAUUUUGACUGCACAAACAACAUGGUGGAAUACGAGGCAUGCAUCAUGGGCAUCUGUGCGACCAUAGAAUGCAGGAUUAAAGUAUUAGAGGUAUACGGAGAUUCUGCAUUAGUAAUCUAUCAACUUAAAGGUGAAUGGGAGACAAGAGACCCUAAGUUGAUUAAUUACCGAAGGCUGGUCAUUGAAUAAUUAAGGAGUUUGAUGAUAUCACUUUCUGCUACCUCACACGAGAUGAAAAUCAGAUGGCUGAUGCCUUGGCAACCUUAGCUUCAUUGAUCAAAGUGAACAAGCAAGAGGAUGUGAAGCUUAUCCAAAUGAGUAUUUAUGAGGCUCCGGCUCAUUGUUACAACAUCGACGAAGAAGAAGAAAUAGAUGAUCAUCCUUGGUAUCAGGAUAUAUUGCGAUAUGUGAGGAAUCAUAAAUGCCCAAACCAAGCAACUGAGAAUGAUAAAAGGACAUUGAGAAGGUUGCCUAGUGACUAUGUCUUGGAUGGAGAUAUCCUAUAUAAAAGAAGGAAGGAUCAGGUACUUCUAAGAUGUGUAGACGCUAUCGAAGCUAAGCAAAUCUUGGAAGAGGUCCAUAAGGGUGUCUGCGGGACGCACGCUAAUGGUUUCACAAUGGCCAGAUAGAUCAUGAGAUUCGAAUAUUAUUGGUCCACUAUGGAAUGGGAUUGCAUCAAUUAUGCAAAAAAGUGUCAUAAAUGCCAAAUAUAUGGAGAUAAAAUUCAUGUACCUCAUUCACCUCUUCGUGUCAUGACUUCUCCAUGGCCUUUCUCCAUGUGGGGCAUGGAUGUUAUAGGGUUGAUUUCGCCGAAGGCAUCUAAUUGACAUCAAUUCAUCUUUGUGGUCAUAGAUUACUUCACCAAAUGGGUAGAGGCCACCUCUUUUGCCAACGUCACAAAGUCAGCAGUCAGCAAGUUCUUAAAGAAAGAAAUCAUAUGUCGAUAUGGGAUGCCUGAGAGGAUCAUAUCAGACAAUACACUGAACUUGAACAAUAGCAUGAUAACAGUGGCCUGUAGCCAAUUCAAGAUCAAACACCAUAACUCGUCAGCAUAUCGCCCAAAGAUGAAUGGUGCGGUGGAAGCAGCCAAUAAAAACAUUAAGAAGAUAAUAGGAAAAAUGACUCAGACCUAUAAAGAUUGGCACGAGAAAUUACCAUUUUCCCUCUAUGCCUACCGAACUUCUGUCAGAACCUCUACUGGGGCAACACAUUUCUUUUUGGUUUACGGGAUGGAGGCAGUUUUGCCUAUUGAGGUUGAGAUUCCCUCUCUACGAGUGCUAUUGAAACUAAAGUUAGAUGAAGCAGAAUGGAUUCAGUCUCGAUACGACCAGUUGAACUUAAUUAAAGAAAAGAGACUAAAAGCUAUUUGCCAUGGUCAAAUAUACCAAAAGAGAAUAAUGCGAGCUUAUAAUAAGAAGGUUCGCCCUAGAGAAUUCCAUGAAGGAGGCCUUGUUUUGAAAAAGAUCUUCCCUAUACAAAAGGACUUUAAAGGAAAAUGGAUGCGAAAUUGGGAGGGACCAUAUGUGGUGAAGAAGGCUUUCUCUAGAGGAGCUUUGAUUUUGACCAAGAUGGAUGGCAAAAGCCUGUCUAAUCCCGUGAAUUCAGAUUCGGUCAAGAUGUAAUACCCGAAAAUUUUUAUAGUAAAAUAUUAUCCGUGAUAUAGUAAAAUAAGGAAAUAAAGUGACAAAAAUGGAAAUUUUGAGUUAUGUCAAUAUUGGGAAGUAUAUUAUGACAUAUUGAUUCAAAGAAAGGAUUAAAUUGUAAAAGUGAGAAAAGUUUUGUGGCCCAAUAGUAAAUACUCAAAAUUUGAAGGAUUAAAGUGUAAAUAUGAAAAGUUGAAGGACUAAUAGUGAAAAUAUUUUAAGGGUGGAAUGAUCUAGAAACCAAGGAAAAUUGAUGAAUUAGGACCAAAUUGAAUAGGUGAAGAAUUAUGAGGGACUAAAUUAUAAUUUUACCAAAUUAAGUGAUGACUCAAGAUUGGAAUUUUAAAAGAUCACAAAGGGCAAAAUGGUCAAUUGGAAGAGAGAGAAAUCUAGAGACAAUGAUGAUGUUGGAGAUAUUUUAGAUAAAUUAAAUAAAUAAAUAUUAAUUUAUUAAUACUUUAAAUUGAUUUUUAAAUGAUAUUUUAUUCUUUUAUUAUUAUUUUAUUUAAUAUAUAUAUGUAAGGAAAGAAAGGGGAGGAUGAUCACCAUUCUCAUGCAACUAACGUGAGAAGAAUAAGAAGAAAGAAAGUUUUCCUUUUCUUACAAUUUAGUCAUUCCUCCAAAAAUUCAUUAUUUUCACCUAAAAAUUGAAAGAAUUUCCAUAGCCAUCAAGAGAGAAAGACAGCAAGGAGAUGAUGGGGAGCAAGAAUAUCAAGUUGGAUUCAAGAAAUAGAAGCUGGAGGAGAGAGAAAAUCAAGUUAAAGAUUGAAGUCAAUAAGGAAAGGUAAGUACAUCAAGACUUCAAUAUGUUUUUAAGUUUGUUAUUAUUAACAAAGCAUGGAAAUAAUGUUAUAGUAGAGUUUUCUUACAUAAGGUCCUAUGUUCUUGAUAUGUUAGUGAAGAGAAAAUAAGAGAAAGUGAUGAGAAAUGGUGUAGAAAAAGAAAAUAAGGGUGUUAUAACAUGGUAAUUAAUAUCUUGCACUAAAACAGUUUUAGACAGUAGCAGUAGUCUAACUUUGAAAAAUCACCAAAAAUUGUAGAAAUCAAAUUAUAGGAUGAAUAAAAUAUUAUAUUAAAUAUUAUUUAGUCUAGUUUCUUAUAGAAGAAACGGUGUAAGUAAUGGAUUUUUAAAUCAUGAAAUAUAAUGAAUUUUGUGAGACAAGGUCAGAAUGAAUUCGGGUUCCCCUAUUCUGACUUUGGAAAAUCAUCAAACAUUGGAUAGAAAUAAUUAUGGGCUUAAAUUUAUAUGUUUAUAAUCUUGAAUGAGUCUAUUUUCAAUAUAAAUAAACGGGAAUACCAUUCAAAUUAUAUACGAUGAGAUAAUUAAUUUUUAGUAAAGAAUGGUCAGAACUAUCAGACAACAGAACAGGGGUAACUUUAAAGAAUAAACUGCACUUAUUGGAUAAACAAAAAAUUCUGAAAAUUUUAUGGCAUGAAGAUAUAUGAGUCUAGUUUCAGGUAAAAAAAUUUUAUCUUAAUUUGGAGCUCUAUAGCUCCAGAUAUAAAUAGUUUAGUGACUAUGACACAGAUGGACAGCUUGAAUAUUCAUAAAAGUAAAUAAAAAAAAUAUAUAGAUAAUGUUACUUACAAGUGUGUUAUAUACAUUAAGGAUGUGAAAUGGAGAUGAGGAGGAGGAAAACAUAUAUGAAUAUUCAUUUAGCAUAGCUAAUUUGCAUAUUUUAGGCUCAGGGACUAAAUUGAAUAAAAGUAAAACUUUAUAGGCAAUUUUGUAAAAUGUCAAAAGUGACCAAAUUGCAUGAAAUGGAUUAUUUUAUUAUUCAAAUUACAAAAUUGAAUAAAAUUAUUAAUUUAGUUCAAGAUAGGGGGAAAACAUGUUUUAGGGAUUAAAUUGAAAAGUGUUGAAAUUAUGGAAAAUUCUGAUAUUUUAUAGAAUUCAUGGACUGUUAUCAAUAUGUAUGAGAAUAAUACCUGAAAAUAAGGAUUAAAUUGCAAGAAUUUUAUUUUCCUGACCCUAAGGAUGAAAUCGUCAUUAAUUAAAAGUUUAGGGGCAAAAUGGUAAUUUUGCCUAGAGCAUUAAUUAAAUGCAUUAGAAUAUGAAAUGAAUGAAAAUGAUGAUCAAAUUUAUUUAUAAAGAUCCGGACGACUCAAAUAUGAGACUUGAUCGUGGAAAAGAAAAGAUAUCGGAUUAAUGAAAUUAUAAACACAAACAAGCAAUGAGGUAAGUUGGUGUAACUUGAAUUGUAUUUUAAAUACUUGAAAUAUAUGGUUAUGUGAUGAAAAUAUGUUUUGAAUGUUCAAUUCAUGAUAUUUGAUGAAAUAUUGAUAAUACUUGAUAUAAAUUGAAAAUAAAUCCCGGUUGAAUGAAAGGAAAAUUCGAUGGAUCUCUGAAAAGGAAUUGACGGUAAAAAGGAUCUAGCCCGGACGGGUGAUCCUAUUUUGAUAUAGCCCUCCCGAAGAAUACGUGUAAAAUGGAUUUAGCCCGGGCGGGUAAUCCAAAUUAGGGUCUGAAUUUAGCCUGGACUGGUAAUUCAGAUCCAAGCUCAUUAGAGUAAUUGUCGUUGCAGGGGAUUUAGCCUGGACUUGGUAAUCCCGACAAUACUCUAUGAGUUUAUAUUACAGGGGAUUUAGCCUGGACUGGUAAUCCCAUUGUAAGGAUGAGGUUCGCGGGAGUGUGCUCUCUGAUAUGAAAUGUGUAAGACCAUGGUUGAAAGAUACCAUGGCAACCUGAUAUGAAAUGUGUAAGAUCAUGGUUGGAAAGAUACCAUGGCAACCUGAUAUGAAAUGUGUAAGACCAUGGUUGAAAGAUACCAUGGCAACCUGAUAUGAAAUGUGUAAGACCAUGGUUGAAAGAUACCAUGGCAACAUGACAGAAAAUGAGUAAGACCAUAGUUGAAAGACACUAUGGCAUCAUGUCAAAGAUAAAUAAGACCGUGGAUGGGAGACGCUAUGACAUCUGUUGAACAAUUGAUAUUCAGGUAAUAUGUAUCAAAUGACGAAUGGUUAUAUGAAAUAAUUAUGAAGAUAGAUAAACGAAAUAAGUAUAAGUACAUAGAAUAUAAUUUAUGUUAAGUUAGAUAUAAGCUAUUACCGGAAUAAAUAUAUAUAAAAUAUAUGGAAAUGAUGGAGCAUGAAAUAUUGAUAUAAUGAAAUGAAUGAUAUAUGCUUAUGAAGAAACGGUAAGAGAAUGAUAUGUUUCAUGACAUGUACAUAUAUGAUUAUCUUUGAUAUGUUGAUACAAGGAAAUUAUGUAAGUAAAGACAAUUAUUAAACUCAAGUGUGACAUGUCGAGAAAAUAAGUAUAUCAAUGUUGAAUUUAUAUGAAAUAUGUGCAAGUAUACUAACAAUGAUGUGGCUUGACGCUUAGACAAAGGUCAAGCUAUUGAUUAAAUGGUAACAUGUUUAAUUAUAAGAAGCAUUGAAAUGGAAAGUACUUAGAUGAAAAUAAAAUUUAAGAUUUUGCGAAAUUUUUUUAUGAUCCUGAUUUAAUUCCGGUUGGUUUUUAAUGUAUGUUUGGGGCUUCGAGGGCCCAAUAAAGAGACGUUAUGACUAUUUUCAAAAUAUGAAUAAUAAAUGACUCAGAAUUAUCUGAAAAUGUUCAAUAAACUCCGGUAAUGCCUCGUACCUAUUCCGGCAACGGAUACGGGUAGGGGUGUUACACAAGAGGUACUUUACCUAAAAAAAAGAGAGAGGCCAAGGCGAAAACCCGCAAAAGGGCGCUUUGAGACCAAAUGAGUUUUGAGUUGAAAACCCAGGAAUGGGCAAUUCAAAUUUUGAUCGAAAAUGGGGUAUGUGGUGGUCUUGUCUUCUCUGAAUUAACAAGAAGGAGGGAUGCUACAUCUUGGAGCAUCAACAAAGUGCUCUUGGUCUUCCAAACACAUACCAAGUUCAAAAGGUCCUCAAGAAGUUUUAUGAAGAGAAGCUCAUACUGCGAUAUCUGGGGCACCUAUUCUCAUUUUAUUCAUUUUGUAUCUUUGCAAAAUUUGCUAUCUUGAUUACCUUAUUCAUUUUGAGCUUUGCUCUCAAUAAAUUCCAUCUUGUCUAUUGUGAUAAUCUUUUGCAAGCAUUCUUCAUUGAAAUGAUGAUUAAUGGACUAAUGACAUUCAAAAAAGAGUUCUGCAUAUUACUCUGAAAUGCUUCUAAAUGAUACAAAGACCUGAAACGGGACGUAUUAGUUUAAAUUACCCAAAUUCAAGGGUCAAAAACAUUGGGGAAAGAAUAGCCCAAAUUUUGAUUAUUUCUUCUGGUUUUCUGCCCAAAGAUACCAAUUGAAGAAAAAGAUAGAGUAAUACGUCAAUGAUAAAACCUCGGUGAACAAUGAGUAAUAUCAAGUUAAGCAUUAAAAAAUGACAUUUUUUUUGCAUUCAUGCAAACAUCAUUCAUACACAUCUAGCUAGGAGCAUCUGAUUCAUUCUGAUCAUGACAUCUUAAUCAUUUGGCAUAAAUAGGCCUAUGAAAUAGAUUCAACAGGUCAUGUUCUCCAAAGAAUGGUGUAAAAGACCAAAGAAAUCAAAAUCCUACACCCUUGAAGAUACAGUGGGACGGAUUGAAAUCACCAUGGCGAAUCUUGUCUCCUUGAAGUUGCAGUGGAGCAGAUUCAAGUCGCGAAUCUUAUCUCCUUAAAGUUACAGAAGAGUAGAUUGAAGUUACAGAUCUUAUCUCCCUAAAGUUGCAGUGAAAUAGAUCAAAGAUAGCAAACCUUAUCCCCCUAAAGUUGCAGUGGGGCAGGUUAAAGUUACAAGUCUUAUUUACCUGAAAUUGCAGUGGGGCAGAUUGAAGAUAGCAAAUCUUAUUUCCCUGAAGUUGUAGUGGAACAAAUUAAAGCUACGAGUUACAAGUUCUGUACCUCUGAAGUUGCAGUGGGUCGGAUCAAGUCUAUCAUGGCAAAUCUUAUCUCCCUGAAGUUACUGUGGAGCAGAUUAAAGCCAUGAACCUUAUCUCCUUGAAGUUGCAAUGAAGCAGGUUGAAGUUACAAGUCUUAUCUUCCUGAAGUUACAAUGGAAUAAACUAAAGCUAUAGAUUACAAAUCUUAUCUCCCUGAAGUUGCAGUGGAGUAGAUCAAAGCAAUAGUUCCUAUACCCCUGAAGAUGCAGAGGGUUGGAAUAAAGCUAUUCGAAGAACAGAAGAAGUCAAGAUUUAGCAAGACUAGGCAAAAUUGGCCAUUUUGAAGUCUUUGCUCCAUUCUCGUUACACGACAAUGAGCAAAGAGGGGCAGUUGUAAUGGCCAAUUUUUGGCCCAGGUCAAUAAACCCAAAUAAUAAAACAAUCCAAUUAAUAGUCCAUGACCCAAAACCCAAACCAGCCCAAAAUUUAAAACCCAAUUAAAGCCCCCAUCAGUCCACUACCUAAACUAACCCUAGCCCAUUACAAAGAGAACAACAGUAAGCCUAGCUAAAAGCUUCAGCUGUCGCAUGCCCACUUCAGCCUUGGCCGCCGCACGCCUCUGACCGCUCGUGUCACCUGCAAAAAUGAGACCAACACGCAAGCAAAAGGAAACAACGAACAAAAGGAUAAAAAACGAUAGCAAAC